GAAGCGCAGGGAGCGAGGCGGGUGGGCAGCUCCCCGCUGCCGGGCGCGGGAGGGUCCGCGGGGCCGCAGCCGCUGCCCGGAGGGCGCCCAGCACCGCGCGGCCUCCCGCAGCCCCCGCCCGGCUCCGCGGGAUGCCCCCGCAGCUUUCAAUGAAAUCCAAUUCAUAAAUUGGACAUGCUCAGGCUCAGAAGACUAAUUCAUCCCCUAAAACAAACGCAUCAGUGAUUGCAGGCACCCAAACGUGACAAGCGUCUCAAUAUACCGAGGAUCCAGAGAAAACAAAUUCAUUCAGGAGCCCGAAACGUAAUUAAAACUACUGCCAAGAAAAUUAGUUGAGUGCAGGAUGUUACCAAGAUUAUUAAGUUGCUGUAGGGCUGAGGCACGGACCGCUAUAGCGAUACAUAGAGAUGUCAGCCUUUGGACAACGGGAAGCAGAGCGAUUCCUGGAGGUCGCAGUCUUGCAAGCGCAAGCCUGGUAACAGCGCGCUGUGGCCGCAUCCUGCUCUCGGGAAGCGAAAGGCAGAGCCCGAGGGCUCGGCAGGGAAUGACCGGGUCCCCGCCGCCUGCUGAGCCCCGGGAGGCUGGUCACGGAGGGUCCGGCGGCACCCGGACCCCUGUCACUUACUAUAGCAUCCCUGUGACGUCUAUUCAGCACACUUUUUAUAACCAUCACCUGUAUAUGCUCUAGUAAAUUCUCCGGAUACUUAGCAUUGCUUGCUUGCAGGAGCGAUAGCUGCAAUGUAUUUAUUCCAUAUAGAAAAUAUUUUUUUCCCAUGCAGAGCACAGUACAACAAGAACUGCUCAAUGCUAAAGGAGUAGGAAAUCUAGAUAAGCUUUACAGUGGCUGGGGAGGCAGAAGGGGGAGGGAACACACAGUAUAGAUGGAGCAGAGUGAAAGGGAAGGAAACCGAAAUGGAAAUGAUAUGAACAAGAAUCCCUGUUGAUCCACAUGCAUCAACAACCUCUUAUUCAGUGCUAGUUACAAGCACAGCUUUUGAACAGGGAAGAGCAGGGGGUGAAUAAAACAAGAUAUGUUUUUUAAAAAUAAAUCACUUGUUAACU